AUUGAACGCUGGCGGCAGGCCUAACACAUGCAAGUCGAACGAGUGGCGGACGGGUGAGUAAUGUCUGGGAAACUGCAUGAUGGAGGGGGAUACCUACUGGAAACGGUAGCUACUACCGCAUACCAUCAGAUGUGCCCAGAUGGGCUUAGCUUGUUUGUGUGGUAACGGGUCACCAAGGCGACGAUCCCUAGCUGGUCUGAGAGGAGUACCAGCAACACUGGAACUGAGAAACGGGCCAUACUCCUACGGGAGGCAGCAGUGGGGAAUAUUGCACAAUGGGCUCAAGCCUGAUGCAGCCAUGCCGCGUGUAUGAAGAAGGCCUUCGGGUUGUAAAGUACUUUCAGCGGGGAGGCGUUACCCGCAGAAGAAGCACCGGCUAACUCCGUGCCAGCAGCCGCGGUAAUUC
rnacentral:rRNA from 1 species